rnacentral:rRNA from 1 species
UUGCGCAAAGGUAGCAUAAUAAUUUGCCUCCUAAUUAGAGGAUAGAAUGAAUGAAUUAACAAGAAAAUAGCUGUCUCUUAUUUAUUUAUGAAAAUUUAUAAUCAGGUGAAAAAGCCUGUAUUUUAAGUAAAGACAAGAAGUCCCUAAAAGCUUUUAAAUAAACCUAAACCCCAAUUAAAUUAUUCUUUAGUUGGGGCGACACACAGAUAAAAACACUUGUUACACAUAAGAUUUUAUACAUCUCUAUAUUUAGCUAAACACAUAUAAGUAAGCUACUUUAGGGAUAACAGGCUAAUACUUUCCGAGAGUACGCAUCGACGAAAGAGCUUGGCACCUCGAUGUUGGCUUAGAAUCCCUAUUCUGCGCAGGGGCAAAACUAGGGGGUUUGUUCAACCUUUAAAAUUCUACGUGA